AAAAAAAAAAAAAAAAAAAAAAGGUUAGUGUACAGACUGGCCUCACAGAGAUCAAAAACAGCUAGUUGGAGAACUUAAGUUACCUGAUUUUAACACUUUAGGGAGGGAUUAGAUCAUGAGGACUCCAACUUCAUGAAUAGAUUAGUGCCCUUAUAAAAGGGCCCAAAGGAACCAGCUAGCCCUUUUAUGCCUUUCCAUCUCUUUCACCGUGAGUACACAGUGUUCAUUUCCUCAAGAGGACACAACAAGGCACCAUCUUGGAAGCAGAGAGCGAGCCAUCACUGGACACCAAACCUGCAGGUGCCUUGAUCUUGGACUUCCCAGCCUCUAUAACUCAAAUAUGCACUGGAAUUAGGAGUCUCGCACUUUACUGGCCCCUGCAGCUGCAGAGAUGACUGGUCACAUUGUCAUGGAUGAAGCAAAGGAUAUGCCACCACCCUCCUGUGUCUGAAGCUUGCCCAGCCAGCAGGUCCAGCUCCAGUGCUGCGUCAUGUGAAAGCCUUCCCCACUAUCAUGGCCUGCCCUGGAUUCUCAUGGAAUUAAAUGGACAAGCUGAUUCUAAAAUUCAUAUGGAACUGCAAGGGACACAGAAAGAACCAAAGCAGUCUUGGACAAGAACAAUGUUAGAAGACUCACUUCUCCAUUUCAAAACUUACUACAAAACUAUAGUAAUCGACCAGGUGCGGUGGCUCACGCCUGUAAUCCCAGCAUUUUGGGAGGCCAAGGUGGGCAGAUCACUUGAGGUCAGGAGUUUGAGACCAGCUUGGCCAACAUGGUGAAACCCCAUCUCAACUAAAAAGACAAAAAAAUUAGCUGGACAUGGUGGUGGGCGCCUAUAAUCUCAGCUACUCAGGAGGCUGAUGCAGAAGAAUGGCGUGAACCCGGGAGGCAGAGGUUGCAGUGAGCCAAGAUCAUGCCGUUGCACUCCAGCCUGGGCAACAGAGCGAGACUCUGUCUCAAAAAAAAAAAAAAAAAAAGUUCAUAACAGCACUAUUCACAAUAGCCCAAAAAUGGAAACAACACAAAUGACCACCAACAGGUAAAUGGAUAAACAGAAUAAAGGAAUAUUAUUUAGCGUCACAGAUAAUGAGGUGUUGAAUGAGGCUACAGCGCGGAUGAACCUGGAAACACUGUGCUAAGAGAAAGACGCCCGACACAAAAGCCCACAUACUGUGUGAUUCCAGUUUUAUGAAAUGUCCAGAAUAGGCAAAUCUACGGAGAGAAAGAUGCCAGACACAAAAGCCCACAUGCUGUGUGAUUCCGGUUCUAUGAAAUGUCCAGAACAGGCAAAUCCAUGGAGAGAAAGACGCCAGACACAAAAGCCCACAUGCUGUGUGAUUCCGGUUCUAUGAAAUGUCCAGAAUAGGAAAAUCUACGGAGAGAAAGAUGCCAGACACAAAAGCCCACAUGCUGUGUGAUUCCAGUUCUAUGAAAUGUCCAGAACAGGCAAAUCCACGAAGACAGAAAGUAGAUUGGUGGAUACCUAGGGCAUGGGGUGGGGAGAAGUGGAGAAUAACUGCCAACAGAUUUGUGGUUUCUCUUGGGGAAAUGGAAAUGUUCUGGAAUUACACCGUGGCGAUGCAUGUACAGCAUAGUGAAUAUACUAAAGCCACUGAAGUAUAAACUUUAAAGUGAUUAAUUUUAUGUUAUGUGAAUUGUAUCUCAAUAAAAAAUGUUUUAAAAAGGAAAGAAACAGCUGGGCAUGGUGGCUCAUGCCUAUAAUCCCAG
rnacentral:lncRNA from 1 species